GACGAACGCUGGCGGCGUGCCUAAUACAUGCAAGUAGAACGCUGAAGAGAGGAGCUUGCUCUUCUUGGAUGAGUUGCGAACGGGUGAGUAACGCGUAGGUAACCUGCCUUGUAGCGGGGGAUAACUAUUGGAAACGAUAGCUAAUACCGCAUAACAAUGAAUGACACAUGUCAUUUAUUUGAAAGGGGCAAUUGCUCCACUACAAGAUGGACCUGCGUUGUAUUAGCUAGUAGGUGAGGUAACGGCUCACCUAGGCGACGAUACAUAGCCGACCUGAGAGGGUGAUCGGCCACACUGGGACUGAGACACGGCCCAGACUCCUACGGGAGGCAGCAGUAGGGAAUCUUCGGCAAUGGGGGCAACCCUGACCGAGCAACGCCGCGUGAGUGAAGAAGGUUUUCGGAUCGUAAAGCUCUGUUGUAAGUCAAGAACGAGUGUGAGAGUGGAAAGUUCACACUGUGACGGUAGCUUACCAGAAAGGGACGGCUAACUACGUGCCAGCAGCCGCGGUAAUACGUAGGUCCCGAGCGUUGUCCGGAUUUAUUGGGCGUAAAGCGAGCGCAGGCGGUUUGAUAAGUCUGAAGUUAAAGGCUGUGGCUCAACCAUAGUUCGCUUUGGAAACUGUCAAACUUGAGUGCAGAAGGGGAGAGUGGAAUUCCAUGUGUAGCGGUGAAAUGCGUAGAUAUAUGGAGGAACACCGGUGGCGAAAGCGGCUCUCUGGCUUGUAACUGACGCUGAGGCUCGAAAGCGUGGGGAGCAAACAGG
rnacentral:rRNA from 1 species